AUUGAACGCUGGCGGCAGGCCUAACACAUGCAAGUCGAACGGGAACAGGAAGCAGCUUGCUGCUUUGCUGACGAGUGGCGGACGGGUGAGUAAUGUCUGGGAAACUGCCUGAUGGAGGGGGAUAACUACUGGAAACGGUAGCUAAUACCGCAUAACGUCGCAAGACCAAAGAGGGGGACCUUCGGGCCUCUUGCCAUCGGAUGUGCCCAGAUGGGAUUAGCUAGUAGGUGGGGUAACGGCUCACCUAGGCGAAGAUCCCUAGCUGGUCUGAGAGGAUGACCAGCCACACUGGAACUGAGACACGGUCCAGACUCCUACGGGAGGCAGCAGUGGGGAAUAUUGCACAAUGGGCGCAAGCCUGAUGCAGCCAUGCCGCGUGUAUGAAGAAGGCCUUCGGGUUGUAAAGUACUUUCAGCGGGGAGGAAGGGAGUAAAGUUAAUACCUUUGCUCAUUGACGUUACCCGCAGAAGAAGCACCGGCUAACUCCGUG
rnacentral:rRNA from 1 species